GCAGUCGAACGAUGAUCCGGUGCUUGCACCGGGGAUUAGUGGCGAACGGGUGAGUAACACGUGAGUAACCUGCCCUUAACUCUGGGAUAAGCCUGGGAAACUGGGUCUAAUACCGGAUAUGACUGACCGUCGCAUGGUGGUUGGUGGAAAGCUUUAUUGUGGUUUUGGAUGGACUCGCGGCCUAUCAGCUUGUUGGUGAGGUAAUGGCUUACCAAGGCGACGACGGGUAGCCGGCCUGAGAGGGUGACCGGCCACACUGGGACUGAGACACGGCCCAGACUCCUACGGGAGGCAGCAGUGGGGAAUAUUGCACAAUGGGCGCAAGCCUGAUGCAGCGACGCCGCGUGAGGGAUGACGGCCUUCGGGUUGUAAACCUCUUUCAGUAGGGAAGAAGCGAAAGUGACGGUACCUGCAGAAGAAGCGCCGGCUAACUACGUGCCAGCAGCCGCGGUAAUACGUAGGGCGCAAGCGUUAUCCGGAAUUAUUGGGCGUAAAGAGCUCGUAGGCGGUUUGUCGCGUCUGCCGUGAAAGUCCGGGGCUCAACUCCGGAUCUGCGGUGGGUACGGGCAGACUAGAGUGAUGUAGGGGAGACUGGAAUUCCUGGUGUAGCGGUGAAAUGCGCAGAUAUCAGGAGGAACACCGAUGGCGAAGGCAGGUCUCUGGGCAUUAACUGACGCUGAGGAGCGAAAGCAUGGGGAGCGAACAGGAUUAGAUACCCUGGUAGUCCAUGCCGUAAACGUUGGGCACUAGGUGUGGGGGACAUUCCACGUUUUCCGCGCCGUAGCUAACGCAUUAAGUGCCCCGCCUGGGGAGUACGGCCGCAGGCUAAAACUCAAAGGAAUUGACGGGGGCCCG
rnacentral:rRNA from 1 species